rnacentral:rRNA from 1 species
AUUGAACGCUGGCGGCAGGCUUAACACAUGCAAGUCGAGCGGAGAUGAGGUGCUUGCACCUUAUCUUAGCGGCGGACGGGUGAGUAAUGCUUAGGAAUCUGCCUAUUAGUGGGGGACAACAUUCCGAAAGGAAUGCUAAUACCGCAUACGCCCUACGGGGGAAAGCAGGGGAUCUUCGGAACUUGCGGUAAUAGAUGAGCCUAAGUCGGAUUAACUAGUGGGUGGGGUAAAGGCCUACCAAGGCGACGAUCUGUAGCGGGUCUGAGAGGAUGAUCCGCCACACUGGGACUGAGACACGGCCCAGACUCCUACGGGAGGCAGCAGUGGGGAAUAUUGGACAAUGGGCGGAAGCCUGAUCCAGCCAUGCCGCGUGUGUGAAGAAGGCCUUUUGGUUGUAAAGCACUUUAAGCGAGGAGGAGGCUACCUGGAUUAAUACUCUAGGAUAGUGGACGUUACUCGCAGAAUAAGCACCGGCUAACUCUGUGCCAGCCGCCGCAGUAAAAC